rnacentral:rRNA from 1 species
UGGGGAAUAUUGCACAAUGGGCGCGAGCCUGAUGCAGCAACGCCGCGUGAGGGACGACGGCCUUCGGGUUGUAAACCUCUUUUAGCAGGGAAGAAGCGAAAGUGACGGUACCUGCAGAAAAAGCACCGGCUAACUACGUGCCAGCAGCCGCGGUAAUACGUAGGGUGCAAGCGUUAUCCGGAAUUAUUGGGCGUAAAGAGCUCGUAGGCGGUUUGUCGCGUCUGCUGUGAAAUCCCGAGGCUCAACCUCGGGCCUGCAGUGGGUACGGGCAGACUAGAGUGCGGUAGGGGAGAUUGGAAUUCCUGGUGUAGCGGUGGAAUGCGCAGAUAUCAGGAGGAACACCGAUGGCGAAGGCAGAUCUCCGGGCCGUAACUGACGCUGAGGAGCGAAAGGGUGGGGAGCAAACA